CUCCUGGCCGGCCGGCAGCGUGGAGGGCGGCUCCGGCAGAGGGAUGCGUGGAAACCUGCCUUUCAGGGCGGCCGGCGUCGGGGGAAUGAGGGAGGAGGGCAGGUCUGUUGUUGGGCUGGGAGAGAAUCUCUUGAGAACGCCCGCCGUGUUCAUCUGGACACUAGUGCGAAGAGGCGAGGUCGAGCUUGAUGUCGACUGACAGGCUCCGUGAACAUCGACGGGAGAGACGUUACAAAGCCCCUACGCCAAAUUUGUGGCGACACGCACCUUCGGGACCGAAUGGCACCACCGGCCCAAGCUGACAGGGAGGAGGAAGCUCGGGGGCCAGGGCCCUUGCUGCUGGUUUGCCGCUGCAGAACUGGUAUCUGCACUGGGAGCAGCUGAAGUGCAUGCAGCCGCCUUUCGUCAGAGCGUACUGGAACCUACAGUGAGGACAGGCUGCAGGAGGAGACCACAUUCUGGUAGCCGGCCAGGCCCUGCCUCUGGUACUCCGGAUCGUUCUCCCUCUUCCACUGCUGGAACUGCUCGCAGGACAGAUCCUGGUGUUGGGGCUCCCACUGAGACCAGAGAGG